GGGAGGCCGAGGCGGGUGAAUCAUGAGGUCAAGAGAUCGAGACCAGCCUGGUCAACAUGGUGAAACCCCGUCUCUACUAAAAAUACAAAAAAAUUAGCUGGGCAUGGUGGCGCAUGCCUGUAAUCCCAGCUACUUGGGAGGCUGAGGCAGAAUUGCCUGAACCCAGGAGGCGGAGGUUGUGGUGAGCCGAGAUCGCGCCAUUGCACUCCAGCCUGGGUAACAAGAGCGAAACUCCGUCUCAAAAAAAAAAAAAAAAAAGAAAAUCGUGAGUAAAACCGGCCCCAUUCUGUCCUGUCUCUUUAAGAACAUCUGAAGCGCAAACCUGAGCAGCCGCACUUCAGAGGCACGGCCCCUCUUAAGCAGCGCAGCCCAGCCAGAAUUAAAAGCACAGGGUUUUACCUCCAAGUUCUCUCUCUGCUUUUCCCCUCCUUCUCUAUCCUUCGGUUGUCAUCUCUGGGACCAAAACCUGUGGGAGCCUGUGGGGUGGAAAGGGUGAGUACCCCCGCUUUCCUCUCCUUGCCAGAGGGAACAUCCCCGCCCUGGGGGCGGAAUCCAACGUCCCACCGAGGUCAGCCAGAGAAAAACAGCGGGGAGGGGUGAGAUACAGCCAGAGCCUGCAGGGGACCAGGGAGCGUGGCGGCUUGGCUCAUGGUUCUGGCAGGCCUCUCCGGCAUUCUCCAGUCCCAGACACUGCUUUCUGACACCAGAGCUACAGUGAUGAAAUGACCAACCCUCCCUCCCCACGUGGAGCCUACAUUCUAGUCUGAAUUCAUCUUGACCAACCACCUGGAGUGAAAGUGAAGUUCUGAGGACUUAGGUGAGGAAAUAACAAAAGAUAUUCAUGACUGAAAUUUAGAGCAGGGAUGGGCAUAAAAACAAAUAGAUGUUAAAAGUUUCAGAGGAAUGAGAAGACCAAGUAGUAAGGUGAAAAGUUUAAGCCUGAGGUCGUGAAAAUGACUUUACAAAACACUGAAAAGCCAGAUUAUCUAAUAUACAAUUUCAAAAUAUCUGUUGAGCAGCACUAUGUAUAAAGACCUUUGCCACUGCAUGAAAACAAACACAACAAUCGACUGUAUGACAGGAGCAAUCACCAGACAUAGGUUGGAGAACUGACAUUCUGUAGAAGCUGGAAACUAGAGAAGAGAUUCCUAGGUAAACAUUUAGCCACAGGGAAACUCAGAAAUCUCAGAUACAGAAUUUGAAAUGAAAAUCUGCUGAUUUUAACGUGCACAAUGGAGAUCUGUGCUAAGAGACAUUAUAGACUCCAUCUCUUUUUUUUUCUCUUCUCUGCUCUUCCCCUCUCUCCUCUUCUCCCUGUGUGUGCAUACACAUGUAUAUUUUUUCUUAUACAGAUAAUUACAUUUAAAUGAGAGUUUUAAUUCCAAAUUCAGAAGCCACACAUUUCUAUUCAGUUUUUUAAGUUGUAAAAUUGGUUGUGCCUAGCUCUACCUGAUCUUGCAGAACUUCAGUGUUCCCAUCUGUGCAGUAGGGAGUUUCUCUUUCUCCUCUACAGAGUAGCUCUAAAAACCAAAUUAAACAAUACACAUUAAAACAAUUUGUAGAUUGCCACCUGCUAAGCAGGUAAUGAUGUCAACAACUUGUAUUUGAACAGCUAGGAACUCUUUAUAAAGCUCUUUCUCAUAUAUCAUGUCCUUUUGUGUUCAAAACCACUCUGCAAGUUAGACCUUAUUGAUCCCAUUGAAAAGCAAUAAAGCAAGGCUCUGAGAAGCUGAGUAUCCCAAAGUCACACAGCAAGUAAAUGGCCCAGAGAUCACUUCCUGCUUCAAGAGCAUUGCUUUUCCAUAACACACUUUUUUUUUUAGGCAUUUAGCCAGAAAUCAGAGAUAAUCUUCAGUAGCCUCAGCUUCACUGAACCCAUCUUUCUUUCUGGUCAGAGUGUGUGAGCUCUAUGAAAUGACAUAGUAUCAGAGACCUUGAACUAUCCACUAUUUCUAUUUAGUUAAAAGCAAAUAUCCAGGGGUAUAAAGAAGGUAUAUUAAAAAGAAGAAGGAAAGGAGAAAAUGUUGAAGUUGAAAGCAGAGUUCCUACCAUGCCGGGUAAUUGCUUUGCAUAGUUUUUUUUAAGCAGAAAUUAUAGAUCCGUAAUAUGCUAAUGAACAUUCACACUCACAGCAUGCACUGUAAUGACUCCGAUGGAAAAGCUCAUAGCUUCCAUUCAGUCCUGAACAGGCUGCCAAAUGUGAUGAUACCUAGUUUCAGGCAAUUAUAGAUUAAACAAUACUUUAUUGUCAUUUGCAUACUUUAAAACAAC
rnacentral:lncRNA from 1 species